CACUCAAGUCGAACGCGUUGGCCCAACUGAUUGAUGGUGCUUGCACGUGAUUGAUUUUGGUCGCCAACGAGUGGCGGACGGGUGAGUAACACGUAGGUAACCUGCCCAGAAGCGGGGGACAACAUUUGGAAACAGAUGCUAAUACCGCAUAACAGCGUUGUUCGCAUGAACAACGCUUAAAAGAUGGCUUCUCGCUAUCACUUCUGGAUGGACCUGCGGUGCAUUAGCUUGUUGGUGGGGUAAUGGCCUACCAAGGCGAUGAUGCAUAGCCGAGUUGAGAGACUGAUCGGCCACAAUGGGACUGAGACACGGCCCAUACUCCUACGGGAGGCAGCAGUAGGGAAUCUUCCACAAUGGGCGCAAGCCUGAUGGAGCAACACCGCGUGAGUGAAGAAGGGUUUCGGCUCGUAAAGCUCUGUUGUUAAAGAAGAACACGUAUGAGAGUAACUGUUCAUACGUUGACGGUAUUUAACCAGAAAGUCACGGCUAACUACGUGCCAGCAGCCGCGGUAAUACGUAGGUGGCAAGCGUUAUCCGGAUUUAUUGGGCGUAAAGAGAGUGCAGGCGGUUUUCUAAGUCUGAUGUGAAAGCCUUCGGCUUAACCGGAGAAGUGCAUCGGAAACUGGAUAACUUGAGUGCAGAAGAGGGUAGUGGAACUCCAUGUGUAGCGGUGGAAUGCGUAGAUAUAUGGAAGAACACCAGUGGCGAAGGCGGCUACCUGGUCUGCAACUGACGCUGAGACUCG
rnacentral:rRNA from 2 species